UCCAAGCGUUAUCCGGAUUUAUUGGGUUUAAAGGGUGCGUAGGCGGCUUUUUAAGUCAGGGGUGAAAGACGGUAGCUCAACUAUCGCAGUGCCCUUGAUACUGAAGAGCUUGAAUGGACUAGAGGUAGGCGGAAUGUGACAAGUAGCGGUGAAAUGCAUAGAUAUGUCACAGAACACCGAUUGCGAAGGCAGCUUACUAUGGUUUUAUUGACGCUGAGGCACGAAAGCGUGGGGAUCAAACAGGAUUAGAUACCCUGGUAGUCCACGCCCUAAACGAUGAAUACUCGCUGUUAGCGAUACACAGUUAGCGGCUAAGCGAAAGCGUUAAGUAUUCCACCUGGGGAGUACGGUCGCAAGAUUGAAACUCAAAGGAAUUGACGGGGGCCCGCACAAGCGGAGGAGCAUGUGGUUUAAUUCGAUGAUACGCGAGGAACCUUACCCGGGCUUGAAAGUUAGUG
rnacentral:rRNA from 1 species